rnacentral:rRNA from 1 species
GACGAACGCUGGCGGCGUGCUUAACACAUGCAAGUCGAACGGCAAGGCCCUGCUUUUGUUGGGUGCUCGAGUGGCGAACGUGUGUGUUACACGUGAGUAACCUGCCCUUUACUUUGUGAUAACUUCAGGAAACUGUUGCUACUACCUGCUAGGAGCUCCUGCUGCAUGGUGGGGGUUGGAAAUUUUAGGCGUUUGGGGAUGGACUUCCGGUUUAUCAGCUUGUUGGUGGGGUAGUUGCUUACCCAGGCUUUGGUGGCUAGCCGGCAUGGGCGGGUGACCGGCGACAUGGGGACUGAGAGACGGACCAGACUGCUACGGGAGGCAGCAGUGGGGAAUAUUGCACAGUGGGGGGGAGCCUGAUGAAGAGACGCCGCGUGCGGGAUGACGGCCUUCGGGUUAUAAACCGCUUUCGCCUGUGACGAAGCGUGAGUGACGGUAAUGGGUAAAGAAGCACCGGCUAACUACGUG